UCCGAUACGGGUUCAGGAUUGUACAGGAAUUGUGACGCUCACCCUAUUUGAGCGUGAGGUGCUUAGGCUGUUGAAGGUUAACGCGACUCAGCUGUUGGAUAAGAACCUUGAUUUAGCUAACGAAGGGAAUUUUCCGCAAGAACUCAAUGCUCUACUUAACAGGAAGUUUGCAUUCAAGAUAUCCAUCGGUUCAUUUAACAUAAAAAACAAAUCGGAUGGUUACUCUAUUUCAAAAUUAACAGACAAUCAAACUGUUAUUGGCGAACUAGAUAAAAUUUUCGAUGUCAUUCAGCCUGUUGACGAGGAGCGUGUGAAUGCUGUUAGCUCUGAAAUCAAAGCAGCAGACGAGGUCCCCGUUAAUCAAAGCCGAUGAUACACCUGUUUCGAAUUUUACUAAAGACAUGUUUAAAACACCCGAUGAAGAUGUCAACGGUACCUCAAUUCGUGUCCUGGAG